UACAGAGGUCCCGAGCGUUGUUCGGAUUCACUGGGCGUAAAGGGUGCGUAGGUGGCGAGGAAAGUCGGAUGUGAAAGCUCGGAGCUCAACUCCGAAAUGGCAUUGGAAACUACCUUGCUCGAGGGUUGGAGGGGGGACUGGAAUUCUCGGUGUAGCAGUGAAAUGCGUAGAUAUCGAGAGGAACACCAGUGGCGAAGGCGAGUCCCUGGACAACUCCUGACACUGAGGCACGAAGGUCAGGGGAGCAAACGGG
rnacentral:rRNA from 1 species